AAUGAACGUUGGCGGCGUGGAUUAGGCAUGCAAGUCGUUCGCCCCGCAAGGGGCGAGGCGCAAGGGUGAGUAAGGCGACGGCAACCAACCCCGGGGCCGGGCAUAGCCGCUCGAAAGGGCGGGUAAUUCCCGGCGACCCCGCCCGGUGGCAUCACCGGGCGGGUAAAGGUGCGAUUCCGCCCCGGGACGGGCCGUCGUGGUAUUAGCUAGUUGGCGGGGUAACGGCCCACCAAGGCUGCGAUGCCUACCGGGCGUGCGAGCGUGGCCCGGCACACGGGGACUGAGACACUGCCCAGACUCCUACGGGAGGCUGCAGUCGAGAAUCUUCGGCAAUGGGCGCAAGCCUGACCGAGCGACGCCGCGUGGGGGACGAAGGCCCUCGGGUUGUAAACCCCUGUCGGGGGGGAACAAGGGCGCGCGAAGAGCGUGCCUCGAGUGAUCCCCGGAGGAAGCACGGGCUAAGUUCGUGCCAGCAGCCGCCGUAACAC
rnacentral:rRNA from 1 species